ACACUCUGCCCGCAAGUGUAGACUCCGGGCCAAUCGCGAGCCAGGACCGCCCCCAGUCUACAGUCUACAUUGCAUUCCGCUCCGUGGGAGAUUUGCGAAUUCCCCAAAUGUGGGAAUCUCGACUGCAUAAUUUCUGUUAGUGUGGGACUGCGUACGCGCUCUCCCCUG
rnacentral:snRNA from 1 species